rnacentral:rRNA from 1 species
UACGGGGGGUGCGAGCGCUAAUCGGAAUUACUGGGCGUAAAGCGCGCGUAGGCGGUUUGUUAAGUCGGAUGUGAAAUCCCCGGGCUCAACCUGGGAAUGGCAUUCGAUACUGGCCGACUAGAGUACGAGAGAGGGAGGUAGAAUUCCACGUGUAGCGGUGAAAUGCGUAGAUAUGUGGAGGAAUACCGGUGGCGAAGGCGGCCUCCUGGCUCGAUACUGACGCUGAGGUGCGAAAGCGUGGGUAGCAAACAGG